UGUUACUAUUUUUGCUUUUGUUAUUAUUAUUAUUGCUCUUGUUGUUAAUAUUACAUUGCUUUUGUCGUUAAUAUUACAUUACAUUACUCGUUACUAUAAAUAUUUUUAUAUAAUUAUGGUUUGUCGUGAUUUUCUUCUUCGCAUAUGCACAAGAAAUCCAUGUAAUCUAUUACAUAAAAUCGAAAAAUGUACUAGAGCUAGAUGUAAUAAGAGCAAUUUAUGCAAAAGAGUACAUCUCACAGACGAUGAAGUCAUUGAAAUUAAUUGCAAUAUUCGUCCGUUUCGAGAAAACGUUUNUCAAGAAAUGAAACGAUUAGCAUAUGUAUUAAGACAAUCUUUUCCUAANGACUUACAAAUUCAUACAUGUACUUUAAAAGUAGUAGGUCAAUGUCUAUGGCCAUGUAUUGCUUGCAACACAAAUUCCACAAAGUCACAUUUGCCAGCAUGCAAUAAAUGUUACAUUUCAGUAACGCAAACCACCUUGAACGCUUUAAGAUGUGGACAUAUUUAUUGCUCCUAUUGCAUGGAACGUCUCCCAAUACAAGUAGAUGGACCGCUUCCUCUUUGGGAUUGUAACGUAUGUCAUCAAUGGGUAACGGAGUUCUUACUAUAUAAAUAGAAUUAAACACAGGAAAAAGAAUAUAAAGCCAAAAAGGAAACAAUCAAUGAGACUUCACGUACGUAACAAGUGUACUUUAUAAUUUUGAAUAACUAUCGUUGUUACCAUUUUUGCCUUUGUCAUUACUAUUAUUGCUCUUGUCGUUAAUAUUAUAUUGCUCUCGUCGAUAUUAUUAUAUUACUCUACUCGUAACCAUUCUUAGUUUUGUGGUUCACGUUUUUUGUGUUCUCUAUUACCAUUUCUUAAGAAGAGAUGUCUUUUUAUCGUUCAAGGUCAGAUUUCUCAUUAUUGUACAAUUACAACUNCUAUUAAAUAUCUUACAAUUA